GCGAGCGGCGGGGACGCCCGACGGGCGCCGCGCGAGUGCGCGAGAGCCCCCGGGGCGAGGCGGCGCGUGCGCCCUGAGGUCCCGCGGCCUCCAGCGGGGAGAGGGGAGCCGGGCUGAGGGCUGGGAGGAGCGAGUGGCGCGGAGGGGCAGGGACAUCCUCGCUGAGGAGGUAGCGAAAUCGUCACCGAGGACCUCAUGGACUCGUUACUAACCCUGGGGAGAGCAGGACAGGAAUUUACUGGAAGGAAAUUGGAUAGCUAAAAUAAUAAAUAGGAAGUCUGCAGAACCAAGCUUAGAAAUGGGAAGGAAUCAGAAGAGUCUGACCAGCAAAGACAUAGGGAUUUCCUAGGCGGUACAGUAGUUAAGAAUCCACCUGCCAAUUCAAGGGACAUGGGUUUGAGCCCUGGGCUGGGAAGACCCCACAUGUCACGGAGCAACUAAGCCCAUGCUCCACAACUACUGAGCCCUCAUGCCACUACUAUUGAAGCCCAUGUGCCUAGAAGCCCGUGCUGCACAGCAAGAGAAGACACCGCAAUGAGAAGCCCACGCACAGCAACGAAAGUAGCCCCUGCUCACCGCAACCAGAGAAAGCCCUCGUUCAGCAAUGAAGACCCAACACAGACC